rnacentral:rRNA from 1 species
CAAUAGCGUAUAUUAAAGUUGUUGCGGUUAAAAAGCUCGUAGUUGGAUUUCUGCCGAGGACGACCGGUCCGCCCUCUGGGUGAGUAUCUGGCUCGGCCUGGGCAUCUUCUUGGAGAACGUAGCUGCACUUGACUGUGUGGUGCGGUAUCCAGGACUUUUACUUUGAGGAAAUUAGAGUGUUUCAAGCAGGCUUACGCCUUGAAUACAUUAGCAUGGAAUAAUAAGAUAGGACCUCGGUUCUAUUUUGUUGGUUUCUAGAGCUGAGGUAAUGAUUAAUAGGGAUAGUUGGGGGCAUUCGUAUUUAACUGUCAGAGGUGAAAUUCUUGGAUUUGUUAGAGACGGACUACUGCGAAAGCAUUUGCCAAGGAUGUUUUCAUUGA